GAGACAUUCAAACGCUCAUGCCUUUGAAUUAAAAUAACUUACAAACGAUGCAUCAUUUGUUUUCAUGAGUGGUGUGCUCACUUAAUUGAUAAUUAUUAAUAUCCAUAACAAUUUGGCGUUGUCGGCAGGAUCCGACAUGCCAGGAGGACUGCAUGGUGAGGGAUAAGGAUGCUUGGCCAGCCUGAAGACCUAUCUUCAGUCCACCUACAUUGAAAAAAGGGGAGUCCUGGAACCUGCCUGCAGCUCCUGGCUGAUCGGAUCCGAAUCAAAGAAAAUUCUGUUAUGAUUUCUGAGUGAGACACUACUCUAAACCAUUUUAUUGUACAUUAACCAUCAUCUCCUAAUACUUGUUUAAUUUAAUUUUGCAGAGUUGGUGGAGUGGGAACAUCAGCGCGAGGGCCUGACCCUGUCUGGAGAACAGGGCUGGUCUAUUGGCAACAAUAGGACCCGGUCUAUUGGUAACAAUAGGACCAAGCAAGACAAAGGGUUUUGCGGGUGGUCUUAGCAUUUCUACACCUCAUAAAGGAGAAAGCCAGGACGGGCAGACGUGCCGCCUGUGGUAAAAAAUGGGUUCCGGAACCUCAAAGGCCUCGGGGGUGUCUCCCCCUCCUCCAGACUCUCCAAUACAUAAAAUUAUGGGGGGAAAAGUGGAGAUGAUUGUGUUGAAUGUGCUUUCAUUUGGUGGAGCUGCAGGCCCUCCAGGUGGCUGACCCGGAUCUGGACUCCUGUCCCCCUCCGAGAAGACAUCAACCUGUUCAACAGUAUGCGGACCGAGGCAAGGCUGGGGAGCGAGGCGAGCUCAGCAAGCAAGGCGGCUCUGACGAAGCAGCGGGGGGAAAACUACGGGAGGAUCCCUCCCUCAUCAGACCCAGUCACUCCCAAGGCAGAGCAGACACAAGAGUCAUCUCAAAGCCAGAACUGGACUUUAUUCGCACCUCUCUGUUUUUCACAUGCCAGAGAAAUGGGAAACAGCGAGUAAACCAAGGACAGAUUUACCAAUUCCCCAUGCAGGAGGUGACAGGAGCAAAUGAACCCCAUGUUUAGACCAAGGACUGCAGCUAACAUCCAGCCCAGCGCUGCCCUCCUCUCUAAUCCCAGAGAGGAAGGAGAAAGGUUGCUGCAGAAAGUGAACUUUGUCUGGAGACUGGAGUCAAGUUUUGCAUCUGGCUGAUUCAAAGAAACGUGCUCUGCUCAGCAGUAAUGUCAUCAGUGGAGGAAAGAAAAAGAAGAGACACUGAUCUGCACAAGGUUGCCCUAAUCCUGUUUUCUGAUGGAUCUCAACCAGGAAGAUCUAACCAUCGUGGAUGUGGCCAUGCACACAAGGGCAGAGGCUGUGGUUGUGGACAGUGGUCUCGUUCUGAUGCAUGUCGCAACUGUGGACAAUUGGGACAUUGGAAGAACGACUGCCCGCAGGGACCGCAGCAGCCUGGUGCCGGUAACUGACAGGUGGGGGAUCGGACCCUGGAUCCGGAGGCCAACCUCGUUGAGAAGGGACUUGCCAAGGGGCGUGAGGCUUCACACACACACACACCGCUACACCUGUGUUUGAAUGUUGAAAUGGUACCUGCUUCAACUGAUCCACAUAGUUUGCUCACAGAGGCCAUCACACACUUAUAUUGUGCCACAGCUGUUACAACAGGCACGCAUCUCCACACAGAGACCCCUGCCUUUUAAAAAAAA